GACGAACGCUGGCGGCGUGCCUAAUACAUGCAAGUUGAGCGCUGAAGGUUGGUACUUGUACCAACUGGAUGAGCAGCGAACGGGUGAGUAACGCGUGGGGAAUCUGCCUUUGAGCGGGGGACAACAUUUGGAAACGAAUGCUAAUACCGCAUAAAAACUUUAAACACAAGUUUUAAGUUUGAAAGAUGCAAUUGCAUCACUCAAAGAUGAUCCCGCGUUGUAUUAGCUAGUUGGUGAGGUAAAGGCUCACCAAGGCGAUGAUACAUAGCCGACCUGAGAGGGUGAUCGGCCACAUCGGGACUGAGACACGGCCCAAACUCCUACGGGAGGCAGCAGUAGGGAAUCUUCGGCAAUGGACGAAAGUCUGACCGAGCAACGCCGCGUGAGUGAAGAAGGUUUUCGGAUCGUAAAACUCUGUUGGUAGAGAAGAACGUUGGUGAGAGUGGAAAGCUCAUCAAGUGACGGUAACUACCCAGAAAGGGACGGCUAACUACGU
rnacentral:rRNA from 1 species